AAUCAACGCUGGCGGCGUGCCUCAGACAUGCAAGUCGAACGAUUAAGACUCCCUUCGGGGAGUGCAUAAAGUGGCGCACGGGUGAGUAACACGUAAGUAAUCUACCUUCGAGUGGGGAAUAACGUUCGGAAACGAACGCUAAUACCGCAUAAUGCAGCGGCAUCGCAAGAUGACAGUUGUUAAAGGAGCAAUCCGCUUGAAGAGGAGCUUGCGGCAGAUUAGCUAGUUGGUAAGGUAACGGCUUACCAAGGCUACGAUCUGUAUCCGGCCUGAGAGGGCGGUCGGACACACUGACACUGAAUAACGGGUCAGACUCCUACGGGAGGCAGCAGUCGGGAAUUUUGGGCAAUGGGCGAAAGCCUGACCCAGCAACGCCGCGUGAAGGAUGAAGUAUUUCGGUAUGUAAACUUCGAAAGAAUAGGAAGAAUAAAUGACGGUACUAUUUAUAAGCUCCGGCUAACUACGUGCCAGCCGCCGCUGUAAUAC
rnacentral:rRNA from 1 species